CGCCUGCGCCCUUCAUACGUCAUCUCCCGGUGCCGACAUUUUACCACCUCACAGCCUCACAAGGAGAGGAGUAUAUACGAGGUUUUCAGGACGUGGCCUCAUCUUGCCAUAGGCUUUCCGUCCCGUGGCAGGCUUUUCCAGGGACUUAAGGUCAAGUUCACAAACUUCAGAAUGUCUUCAACAACAGAAGUGGCUCCCUAGAGUGUUGGCUGCUUUGUGUUUCUGUGGCUCUUGGCUUAUCACACACCUUCAGUAUUGACUACAGGAUUCAAUUUGGUCCGGCAGGCGCUGGGUAACGGGGAAGCCUGCUAAGAGCAGCUGUGUUAACAGCAUCCCUCUCGAGAGAGGAUUCUCUGAGGAGGGUGAAGAAGGAGGGAGAAGAAGAUACAGAAGAAGAAGAAAAGGGGGAAGAAACAACAACUUGCACACACAUGCACACCCCUGUGUGUCGCUGCUGCCACCGCCACCGCGGCUGCUUGGACGCGUCUAAGAUGGCACCUUGGUGCCCUGCCACAUUCGGUCUCCUUGGUACCGAAGCGGCGCUCAGCUUCUUGUCACUGAGUGGAUGAUGAUUAUCUGCACCAGGGUCUCAAGGGUGCUCAAGCUUUGCUGGCGAUUGGAGCUGAGAUGCUUCAGCUGAAGGAUUUUAAAAGCUGUACAAGGCCAAAGAACCAUUACCAGUCACUUGCUGUGUGAUGCUUGUUGAAGAGGGGGUUCUUUUGCCUUUCUGAAUACCUUUGUAGUGAGGAACCAGCUUCCUCCCCACCUCUUCUCACUUCUGCCAGUUUUAAUGAGAGCACAGUCAAUAACUAUGGAGAGGUGCUGACGACAUUACAAAGGAACUAGCCCUUAACAAGUCAACUGUAGAUGAGGUGCCAACAGGAUGGACAAGAGGAUUAAAGUAUUUAUGCCAAAAUAUUAGAAGCACACGCAGAAUUAGUUCUCCCCGUGUUAGAUAUUUUACUUUUGGCAAGUCCAUAUUUAAAAAUAUUUUAUCCUUGUUUUGCUUAAAGUAUUACAAUAAGCCCUGGAUUUUUCACAGUUACACUUGUAUAUUUUCACAGCUGUUUUAAUCAGAAAAAAUUAAUGUGCUUUUGAUAGCUCAGAAACCUAUCACUGGCAAAAGCUUUGCAAAAAUGUGCUACAGAGCAGAGUGGAAUCCUCAACAUUAUAUAUUUUGCCGGCUAUUUGAAAUUCAUAGAAUUUCCCCUAAAUAUUUUCUUUUGCAAUUCUUGCCUAAAUUAAUCUAACAGCUUGGGCUGACUUCUUUGAUAAUCUCUUUUGUUAUGAAGGCAGGGAUUGCUAUUGUUAACAUUCUUUGGGAACCAAACAUGAACUGUUACUGGAGGAAAACACAAUUGCUAUUUUUGCUUGUAUUGGAAGCAUUUCCUCAAAUAAAAUACACAACAUAAUGGAUAGGCAGGACUGGCAGUCUCCUUGAUGGCUUUAUGGUCACUGGCUUAGCAUCAGUGUGCUCCCCUGGAUUUUCACAAGCAGCACAGGAAGGAACUUGACUUUUGCUUCUCAAGGUCUGUGACACAUUCAGUUCUACAGACACACACUCUGAGUCUUGAGCGUGGUGAUCAUGCACGGUUUUGGAUUCAAAUGGCAGGCACACGUCAUGAACAGUGCAAGAGAGGAAACUACCAAGAGUAAAGUUCUGUGGCUGCACAUCAAUAAUAACAAUGCCAACAAUCAUUUUAAUAAAAACUCGCAAAAGCAAAACAUUCGCAACUAGGGAAGGGAAAGAUGGGGAAGGAACAAAAGGGAUGAACAAAAGUCUUGGUUGCCCCUGUCUACCCGGCAAAGAAGAGGCUGAUUUCCAGGGGAGGGAGAAUCAGUGGAUUAAUGUGAACUUUAAUACUGAAGCAGUGUGUGUUUAUUGCUGGUGACCACAAGACAUAAAUCUUGCAAGCACAAUAUACAAUACGAUGCAGCCCCCAGUUUUUUUUUCCCUCUCCAGUCUCAAUUUGUGUGUAAGUGUGUGUUAAGUGCUGUUGAAAAAUAGUGACCUUUAAUAAAGGAUUGUAUCCUGCGA